ensembl:lncRNA
GAUAGAUAGAUAGAUAGAUAGAUAGAUAGAUAGAUAGAUAGAUAGAUAGAUACAGAAAUAAAGAAACAUAGCUAUGCAUGAUGUGUGUAUAUUCAAAUAUAAUAUUUAAUAUAAUAUUUAGUCUCUUUUUUCACAGGGGAAAACAAGCUUCGCCUAUACCGAGCUGUCUGUCAAUGAAAAGUGAUAAUUCAAUGAACCCUCCACUGAAAUUUCAAAGUGAAACAUCACAAGUGCACAGGGGAAAACAAGCUUCGCCCGUACCGAGCUGUCUGUCAAUGAAAAGUGAUAAUUCAAUGAACCCUCCACUGAAAUUUCAAAGUGAAACAUCACAAUUGCACAGAACUGUUAAGUCAUUACAGAUACACAAGCAAUGGAGUAUUCUGACAUUAUCCAUGUACAUUCAGG